UUUGCUCUCAUUGCAAGUAGAGCUUCACCUUUCUUGUGCUGUAGGAAGAGUGAUUAAAGGCAGCUGAGAGAAGUUUAUCUUACUGUCUGAAAUAUUUUGCGAACCUUGCUUUUUUACUGCUGUGGAGGGGAUCUUUCAGAAAGCUGCUUUUUUCUUGGCUGGGAAGGAAGCGCUAAUGCUGUAUCGUGAGACCUUUCCCAGUCCAGACUUUGAAUGCAA